rnacentral:rRNA from 1 species
GCGCCCUUCGGGGUGAGCGGCGGACGGGUGAGUAACGCGUGGGAAUAUGCCCUUCUCUAAGGAAUAGCCUCGGGAAACUGAGAGUAAUACCUUAUACGCCCUACGGGGGAAAGAUUUAUCGGAGAAGGAUUAGCCCGCGUUAGAUUAGGUAGUUGGUGGGGUAAUGGCCUACCAAGCCUACGAUCUAUAGCUGGUUUGAGAGGAUGAUCAGCCACACUGGGACUGAGACACGGCCCAGACUCCUACGGGAGGCAGCAGUAGGGAAUCUUAGACAAUGGGGGAAACCCUGAUCUAGCCAUGCCGCGUGUGUGAUGAAGGCCUUAGGGUCGUAAAGCACUUUCGCCAGAGAUGAUAAUGACAGUAUCUGGUAAAGAAACCCCGGCUAACUCCGUGCCAGCAGCCGCGGUAAUACGGAGGGGGUUAGCGUUGUUCGGAAUUACUGGGCGUAAAGCGCACGUA